GGUGGCUCAGUGGUAGAGUGCUUGCCUUGCAUGCGUGAGGCCCUGAGUUCGAUUCCUAGUACCA
rnacentral:tRNA from 1 species